AGAGUUUGAUCCUGGCUCAGAAUGAACGUUGGCGGCGUGGAUUAGGCAUGCAAGUCGCGCGACAAGGCGCUUAUAGCAAUAUAAGUGCUGGAGGAGCGGCGAAAGGGUGAGGAACACGUGGAUAUCUACCCUCAGGCUCGGGAUAGUGGCGGGAAACUGCCAGUAAUACCGAAUAACAUCUCCGGAUCAAAGCUCCGGCGCCUGUGGACGAGUCCGCGUCCCAUUAGCUAGUUGGCGGGGUAAUAGCCCACCAAGGCAAAGACGGGUAGUGGGCGUGAGAGCGCGACCCACCACACUGGGACUGAGAUACUGCCCAGACACCUACGGGUGGCCGCAGUCGAGAAUCUUCGGCAAUGGGCGAAAGCCUGACCGAGCGACGCCGCGUGGAGGAUGAAGGCCUUCGGGUUGUAAACUCCUGUCGGAGGGGAAGAAAUUUUGACUACCCCCUCGGAGGAAGCCCGGGCUAAGUUCGUGCCAGCAGCCGCGGUAACACGAACCGGGCAAACGUUAUUCGGAAUUACUGGGCUUAAAGGGUGCGUAGGCUGCGUUAUAAGUCGGGUGUGAAAUCCCUCAGCUCAACUGAGGAACUGCGCCCGAUACUGUAGUGCUUGAGGAGGAUAGAGGUGAGCGGAACUAGCAGUGGAGCGGUGAAAUGCGUUGAUAUUGCUGGGAACACCCGUGGCGAAAGCGGCUCACUGGGUCCUUUCUGACGCUGAGGCACGAAAGCUAGGGGAGCGAACGGGAUUAGAUACCCCGGUAGUCCUAGCCGUAAACGAUGAGCACUAGAUCGGGGAGACCUCCACAUCUUCCCGAUCGUAGCGAAAGUGUUAAGUGCUCCGCCUGGGGAGUAUGGUCGCAAGGCUGAAACUCAAAGGAAUUGACGGGGGCUCACACAAGCGGUGGAGGAUGUGGCUUAAUUCGAGGCUACGCGAAGAACCUUACCUAGUCUUGACAUGCUUAGGAAUCCUCUGGAAACAGAGGAGUGCUCGCAAGAGAGCCUUUGCACAGGUGCUGCAUGGCUGUCGUCAGCUCGUGUCGUGAGAUGUCGCGUUAAGUCGCUUAACGAGCGAAACCCUUGUCGUUAGUUGCCAGCGCGUUAUGGCGGGGACUCUAACGAGACUGCCGGUGUUAAACCGGAGGAAGGUGGGGAUGACGUCAAGUCCUCAUGGCCUUUAUGAUUAGGGCUGCACACGUCCUACAAUGGACCACACAAAGGGACGCAAACUCGCGAGAGGGAGCAAAUCCCAAAAAAUGGUCCCCAGUACGGAUUGCAGGCUGAAACCCGCCUGCAUGAAGCCGGAAUCGCUAGUAAUCGCGGGUCAGCAUACCGCGGUGAAUAUGUUCCUGAGCCUUGUACACACCGCCCGUCAAGCCACGAAAGUGGGGGGCGCCCGAAGUCGCCGAGUCAACCCGCAAGGGAGACAAGCGCCGAAGGUGACCUUCGCGAUUGGGACUAAGUCGUAACAAGGUAACC
rnacentral:rRNA from 1 species